UACGUAGGGUGCGAGCGUUAAUCGGAAUUACUGGGCGUAAAGCGUGCGCAGGCGGUUUUGUAAGCCAGAUGUGAAAUCCCCGGGCUUAACCUGGGAAUGGCAUUUGGGACUGCAAGGCUGGAGUGCGGCAGAGGAGACUGGAAUUCCUGGUGUAGCAGUGAAAUGCGUAGAUAUCAGGAGGAACACCGAUGGCGAAGGCGGGUCUCUGGGCAACUACUGACGCUGAGGAGCGAAAGCGUGGGGAGCGAACAGG
rnacentral:rRNA from 1 species